rnacentral:rRNA from 1 species
GAUGAACGCUGGCGGCGUGCCUAAUACAUGCCAGUCGAGCGAACGGACGAGAAGCUUGCUUCUCUGAUGUUAGCGGCGGACGGGUGAGUAACACGUGGAUAACCUACCUAUAAGACUGGGAUAACUUCGGGAAACCGGAGCUAAUACCGGAUAACAUUUUGAACCGCAUGGUUCAAAAGUGAAAGACGGUCUUGCUGUCACUUAUAGAUGGAUCCGCGCUGCAUUAGCUAGUUGGUAAGGUAACGGCUUACCAAGGCAACGAUGCAUAGCCGACCUGAGAGGGUGAUCGGCCACACUGGAACUGAGACACGGUCCAGACUCCUACGGGAGGCAGCAGUAGGGAAUCUUCCGCAAUGGGCGAAAGCCUGACGGAGCAACGCCGCGUGAGUGAUGAAGGUCUUCGGAUCGUAAAACUCUGUUAUUUAGGGAAGAACAUAUGUGUAAGUAACUGUGCACAUCUUGACGGUACCUAAUCAGAAAGCCACGGCUAACUACGUG